GAAGCGGCAACAGCUCAAAUUUGAAAUCUGGCGCAAGCCCGAGUUGUAAUUUGUAGAGGAUGCUUCUGGCCAGCGGCCGUUCUAAGUUCCUUGGAACAGGACGUCAUAGAGGGUGAGAAUCCCGUAUGUGACCGGCGCGCAGCCUUUACGUAGCUCCUUCGACGAGUCGAGUUGUUUGGGAAUGCAGCUCUAAAUGGGAGGUAAAUUUCUUCUAAAGCUAAAUACCGGCCAGAGACCGAUAGCGCACAAGUAGAGUGAUCGAAAGAUGAAAAGCACUUUGGAAAGAGAGUUAAAAAGCACGUGAAAUUGUUGAAAGGGAAGCGCUUGCAACCAGACUUCGUAGCGAUGUUCCGCCGGUCUUCUGACCGGUCUACUCAUCGUCGCGAGGCCAACAUCGUCUGGGGCCGCUGGAUAAGACCUAAGGAAUGUAGCUUCCCUCGGGAAGUGUUAUAGCCUGUGGUGAUGCAGCGUGUCUCGGGCGAGGUCCGCGCUUCGGCAAGGAUGUUGGCGUAAUGGUUGUCAGCGGCCCGUCUUGAAACACGGACCAAGGAGUCUAACAUCUAUGCGAGUGUUCGGGUGUCAAACCCCUACGCGUAAUGAAAGUGAACGGAGGUGGGAAGCGCAAGCUGCACCAUCGACCGAUCCUGAUGUCCUCGGAUGGAUUUGAGUAAGAGCAUAGCUGUUGGGACCCGAAAGAUGGUGAACUAUGCCUGAAUAGGGUGAAGCCAGAGGAAACUCUGGUGGA
rnacentral:rRNA from 1 species